AAAUUGAAGAGUUUGAUCAUGGCUCAGAUUGAACGCUGGCGGCAGGCCUAACACAUGCAAGUCGAACGGUAACAGGAGGCAGCUUGCUGCUUCGCUGACGAGUGGCGGACGGGUGAGUAAUGUCUGGGAAACUGCCUGAUGGAGGGGGAUAACUACUGGAAACGGUAGCUAAUACCGCAUAACGUCGCAAGACCAAAGA
rnacentral:rRNA from 1 species